rnacentral:rRNA from 1 species
AUACGGAGGGUGCAAGCGUUAUCCGGAUUUACUGGGUUUAAAGGGUGCGUAGGCGGAUAGGUAAGUCAGUGGUGAAAUCUCCGAGCUUAACUCGGAAACUGCCGUUGAUACUAUUUAUCUUGAAUAUUGUGGAGGUAAGCGGAAUAUGUCAUGUAGCGGUGAAAUGCUUAGAUAUGACAUGGAACACCAAUUGCGAAGGCAGCUUACUACACAGUUAUUGACGCUGAGGCACGAAAGCGUGGGGAUCAAACAGGAUUAGAUACCCUGGUAGUCCACGCCCUAAACGAUGAUUACUCGACAUACGCGAUACACAGUGUGUGUCCGAGCGAAAGCAUUAAGUAAUCCACCUGGGAAGUACGAUCGCAAGAUUGAA